UACGGGGGGGAGCAAGCGUUGUUCGGAUUUACUGGGCGUAAAGGGCGCGUAGGCGGUCAGCACAAGUCAGUUGUGAAAUCUCCGGGCUUAACUCGGAAAGGUCAACUGAUACUGUGCGACUAGAGUGCGGAAGGGGCAACUGGAAUUCUCGGUGUAGCGGUGAAAUGCGUAGAGUAUCGAGAGGAACACCGAGUGGACGGAUGGCGUCGCCU
rnacentral:rRNA from 1 species